CUUUCGCUCUCAUGUCCCCACCCACCCCACACACGUCAGAAGCGAGCAGCGGAAGCCCAUCUGGUUGUGCCUUUUUACUCCCACGGUAUAUAUCUCAUCGCCGUCGAUCGCCAAGCACCUCGUCGUCGACCUCCCCCUCCCCCUUCCCCUUCCUCCUCCCCGCCUCCUCUGCAUGUGAGCAACUCAGAACACAGAGAGAGAAAGAGAGAGAGAGAGAGAGAGAGAGAGAGAGAGAGCAUAUGGACUGACUGAUCACUCGUGUCUUCUUCAUGACCUUUUAUGUUACUUCGACUGGCAACAGAUGGCAACUAAGGAAACUGGUGAAUCUGGUCACAGAUGCUAAAGCCAUUAAAUUUGCAGCUUCUUGUCCUCUUUUACUUUGACUGCCUCCAUUGCUCAUCUAAAAACAUGGUGAGAUUCUACAUGGAUAUUGAUCAUGAAGUGGGUGAUUGUUUCUGAAGCUGCAAGCAAAUUUAGCUCACAGAAAGCCAAGUUGGUGAGAGGUGGUGUCUCAUGAACUGUUGACAUCUCUGACAGUAGUGUGUGUUCUGAAGCAUCAACUCUACUAGAGUGCUUCAAUGGAUGGCAGAAGAAAGAGACAUAGCAUUGCAGCUACUUCAAGAACUAAGCAUGGAGGAGUUGGAUCACAAGUACCAGACCAUAAAGCCUUCUCCUCCAAGUACUUCAGUGCAGAGUCUCUUCUGGUUCUGCUUUGCCUCACUGCCUCAUUGCUGAUACUUCCAGUGAUACUACCCACAUUGCCUCCACCACCUCUUGCAGUGCUGCUGCUUCCAAUAGGCAUCCUUGUUUUGCUCAUGAUCUUGGCAUUCAUGCCUUCAGAUCACCAAGAGAUACUGUGUAAGAAACCAGUGACAUUCGCAUAGCCAAAGGAAAGAAAUAUCAGUGACAUUAGCAUAGUCAAAGGAAAGAGAUAUGUGUUCAAAAUUCAUAUAUUUGCAAUCUUAGAUACAGUGGAUUGAUUUUGGAAGACAAGGUGACUUAAAUAUAUGGAUUUCUUGUUCUGUUUAAUGGGUAAAUUGUUUGUCUCCACAGAAUGAUACAGUUCAUUCAAGUCCAACUAUACUUUAUGAUACACAGUAUUCACAGCAAGCAAUAGUUUGUUUGAUUUAUAGCACAUCAGAUAAUUGAGGGUUGGCUACAUCACUGUAUUCCUGGAGACUUGAAUAAGAUUUAUGAUGCAGAUGGAGCAAAAUCAAGAUCUUGUUGUUGUUGUUGUGAUUAUUGGGUCACCAACUUUCUGGUUGAUUAUGGUGUAAAGAUUUCAGAAUGAUGUAAGGCUUCUUGAACCUUAGCUCGGGGUUUUUUCUUUAUAUUUUUACCCUUGUUCCAGUAUAAUAUACAUACAAUCUUGCAAACAGUUAAACCCACAAGCAUAAGUCUUUGUCCAAUACACAAUGCAUAAUGUGAGCAUCUGACACUUCUUGGUUGCUGAUGAUAACAUCUCAUUAAACAUGAUUGUGGUAUAAACCAGUAGCUCUUCAUGAAUAAUGCUCAGAUACUAGUACUGCAAUGUGAUUACAAGCAGCAGAUUCAACUUUAGCUUGAUCAAAUUUUCAAGAUAUACCCUCAAUUGACUUGCCAUUAAAAUGUUCCAUGCAACUCUUGAUGCAGAAGCAUAGAACACCAAAGAGAACACAGAGUUCCAUUAGCUAAAGGGCUAUAGCAAAGUCAUUUAUUGUCCCUUGAUUCAGUGUUCUAUCAGUAAGUUAAACUAUAGUGAGGGGCUGGUGGUGGUUGGGGAUUGCAGAAAGAAGGUCGGUAGGUGAUGCUCCAAAACUGCCAUAAGGUCUCCUGCCUGGCUGUUCUUGUCCACCGGCCUCCCCGCGACCUUGCUAGCUGCCUCCACAAGUUGCCCUCUCAGUUUCUGCGGCAACAACAACCCACCUGCCUUCCGACACUCUCUGUACAGCGAUAGGUACGCUAUGGCCGUCACCAGGGAUGGCGGAAGAUCCCUGAGACAGAUGGGUGAGCCACCCCUUCUCAGAAUCCUCAUAAAAUUCACAAAGUGGUUCUGCCCAUAAUUCAAGCCCUCAGCAAAUGCUGCCUCCGACCAAUGCAACUUCAGAAAAGCUCUCAGGUCAGGGGCCACAGCCUCAUCGUCACUGGACUCGGCAAUGCUGUCAGCCACGGCAUAUGUUGCCACAGGGUCACCAAGGAAGUUGUUGCGCAGAAGGAAUUCAACACCAGCUAGCGAGCCACUGCUUCUCUCAGCUGCUGCCUUUAGGAUCUCAAUGCUGAGGGCAGCAAGGACAUGCUCUGGGAUGCGUGGGAGAAGGUAAGCUGCAAUACCCACCUGGCUGCUAGCGACGGAAGCAGUAAGUGCAAUGCAUAGUUCCAUAUCCCUACAUCCCCGAUCGACAAACCAUUGAACUACCUGCAUGCAGCCCCUCUCAGCCGCUCGCAACAAAGGACCAAGGAAGGCCCCAGCAUUCCCUUCUUCCACCAAGCAUUCCAUGGUUCCAAUCUUACAGUGGUGAGAGGCAAAGCCUAAGGCAAGUUCAACAUCAACAUCCAAGCUGUUCCUUUGAGCAAUCUGGAGGAAGAAAGAAAAAGUGAAUGCGAAUCAAAACUUCCAUAUCCGGCUGAAUCUAGGUUUAUCAUUGUAUAAACUAAUUUCCCAGCAGCUUUAUUUAAUUGGUCAAACCAAGAAAUUAUUUGA